AGACCCGAAACCCGGUGAUCUAGCCAUGGGCAGGUUGAAGGUUGGGUAACACUAACUGGAGGACCGAACCGACUAAUGUUGAAAAAUUAGCGGAUGACCUGUGGCUGGGGGUGAAAGGCCAAUCAAACCGGGAGAUAGCUGGUUCUCCCCGAAAGCUAUUUAGGUAGCGCCUCGUGAAUUCAUCUCCGGGGGUAGAGCACUGUUUCGGCUAGGGGGCCAUCCCGGCUUACCAACCCGAUGCAAACUGCGAAUACCGGAGAAUGUUAUCACGGGAGACACACGGCGGGUGCUAACGUCCGUCGUGAAGAGGGAAACAACCCAGACCGCCAGCUAAGGUCCCAAAGUCAUGGUUAAGUGGGAAACGAUGUGGGAAGGCCCAGACAGCCAGGAUGUUGGCUUAGAAGCAGCCAUCAUUUAAAGAAAGCGUAAUAGCUCACUGGUCGAGUCGGCCUGCGCGGAAGAUGUAACGGGGCUAAACCAUGCACCGAAGCUGCGGCAGCGAACGUAUCACCCAAGACAACUUUACGGAGUUGGCGAUUGACGGAGCGAAGCGACGUCAAAGCGUUCAUUAAAGUCGAGUUGGCUUAGGGAUACGUUCGUUGGGUAGGGGAGCGUUCUGUAAGCCUGUGAAGGUGUGUCGUGAGGCAUGCUGGAGGUAUCAGAAGUGCGAAUGCUGACAUAAGUAACGAUAAAGCGGGUGAAAAGCCCGCUCGCCGGAAGACCAAGGGUUCCUGUCCAACGUUAAUCGGGGCAGGGUGAGUCGACCCCUAAGGCGAGGCCGAAAGGCGUAGUCGAUGGGAAACGGGUUAAUAUUCCCGUACUUGGUGUUACUGCGAAGGGGGGACGGAGAAGGCUAUGUUGGCCGGGCGACGGUUGUCCCGGUUUAAGCGUGUAGGUGUGUGUUCCAGGUAAAUCCGGUUCACUUUAACACUGAGGCGUGAUGACGAGGCACUACGGUGCUGAAGCAACAAAUGCCCUGCUUCCAGGAAAAGCCUCUAAGCAUCAGGUAACAUCAAA
rnacentral:rRNA from 1 species